AGAAGAAGGCUGGACACCCCACUGAUUGCUGAGAGGAGCAAGCACCCAUAAGAGGUGGACGAUGGGGGCUGGGUCUGGACCUUCUCAUCGCCUGUCUUAUAUUGAGGUGAGCUUUGGGGACCCAAGUGGAUUCCAGCAAAGAAUGUGAAACCUUAUCGAGUGCAAGAAAGUGCUGACCAUGCCACAGUGAAUAAGCAGGCACACAGACGUGAACUAUCAAAGAUUUCUACUUGCACCUGAUGUCUUGUGUUUUACCUGUAGAAGAUUGUGAACUUUGGGUGGGUUUUUUUUU